rnacentral:rRNA from 1 species
GAUGAACGCUGGCGGCGUGCCUAAUACAUGCAAGUCGAGCGAACAGACGAGGAGCUUGCUCCUCUGACGUUAGCGGCGGACGGGUGAGUAACACGUGGAUAACCUACCUAUAAGACUGGGAUAACUUCGGGAAACCGGAGCUAAUACCGGAUAAUAUAUUGAACCGCAUGGUUCAAUAGUGAAAGACGGCUUUGCUGUCACUUAUAGAUGGAUCCGCGCCGCAUUAGCUAGUUGGUAAGGCAACGGCUUACCAAGGCAACGAUGCGUAGCCGACCUGAGAGGGUGAUCGGCCACACUGGAACUGAGACACGGUCCAGACUCCUACGGGAGGCAGCAGUAGGGAAUCUUCCGCAAUGGGCGAAAGCCUGACGGAGCAACGCCGCGUGAGUGAUGAAGGUCUUCGGAUCGUAAAACUCUGUUAUUAGGGAAGAACAAAUGUGUAAGUAACUAUGCACGUCUUGACGGUACCUAAUCAGAAAGCCACGGCUAACUACGUG